rnacentral:misc_RNA from 1 species
GAGGAAGAACGUAGCGAAAUGCGAUACGUAAUGUGAAUUGCAGAAUUCAGUGAAUCAUCGAAUCUUUGAACGCAUAUUGCGCUCUUUGGUAUUCCGAAGAGCAUGCUUGUUUGAGUAUCAGUAAACACCUCAAAGCUUUUGGAUUUUUUAAUCGAAAAGCUUUGGACUUGAGCAAUCCCAACACCAAUCUUUUUGAGAUCGGUGGCGGGUUGCUUGAAAUGCAGGUGCAGCUGGACAUUCUCCUGAGCUAAAAGCAUAUUCAUUUAGUCCCGUCAAACGGAUUAUUACUUUUGCUGCAGCUAACAUAAAGGGAGUUUGACCGUAUUGGCUGACUGAUGCAGGAUUUCACAAGGGUCGGCAACGAUUCUUGUUAAACUCGAUCUCAAAUCAAGUAAGACUACCCGCUGAACUUAAGCAUAUCAAUAAGCGGAGGA